rnacentral:rRNA from 1 species
AAUAUUGCACAAUGGAGGGAACUCUGAUGCAGCCACGCCGCGUGAGUGAAGAAGGUUUUCGGAUCGUAAAACUCUGUCAUUGGGGAAGAAGAAAUGACUGUAUCCAAUGAGGAAGCCCCGGCCAACUACGUGCCCGCAGCCUCGGUAAUACGUAGGGGCCGAGCGUUGUCCGGAAUUACUGGGCGUAAAGGGUACGUAGGCGGCUAUAUAAGUCAGGUGUGAAAUACCAGUGCUUAACACUGGAAUUGCAUUUGAAACUGUGUAGCUUGAGUGCAGGAGAGGAAAGUGGAAUUCCUAGUGUAGCGGUGAAAUGCGUAGAGAUUAGGAGGAACACCAGUGGAGAAGGCGACUUUCUGGACUGUAACUGACGCUGAGGUACGAAAGCGUGGGUAGCGAACA